ensembl:lncRNA
GCAGAGUAGGUGCUUAAUAGAUGGUUGGCAAAUGAGCAAAUGCCUAGAUCGUCUGAGUUGGACAAACAAGUUCCCUAGAGCUCUGCAGGGAGUUAAGCUCUGCAGACUUGCUCUCUGCUGGCUGUCCCCCUGGAACCCCCUGGUUUCCUCUCAGGAGGUCCUCCUCACUUCACCCUCUUCUCUCCAACACACGCCCUCAGACUUGGGCUCUGCAGUUUUGCAUUCAACACCCUACUCCAUGUCCCCAAGCACAAGUUGCCAAAGAUAACUAAUAUUAGCAGGUUAGAGUCAGCACAGAUAUACUUUAAGAUGCUUAGUGGGGCUGGAGAGCCCUAGACAGAGCUGGGUGUAUUUUUAGCUCUUUGGGUAUCUGGAAAGAUAUUGAGAUGCAGUCAUUGUUACAGACACCCAGGCAAAUCAGUAUUCUGCUACUGGCCUCCCUACACCAGGCAGUUUCCAUUCAGUGUCUCAAAAGCAAGGGUUGCCAUGGAGAUUGAGUGCCAGGACAACCGAACUUCCUCUCAGGAAACAACAGCACAGGUGGAGCUCUGGGCCAAUGGGGAUCAAGAAGCUCCUCAGAUGGCCACAGCUUUCUCUCCUGAAGGCAAGUGAUGGCAGAGGUCCCUGGCACCCUUGGAAGGGGUCAGCCAGAAGAUGGAGGACACUGUCUCUGGAACUUCAUUCAGGGAGGGGUUGAUUCUAUUUCUCACUCACACUUGCUGUGGAUGGCUUUAGUUCUCUUCCUGGCCCUUCCUUCCACAAAGGGAUCUGGCCACCCAAGAAGCAGUCUGGAAGCUGCUCAGGGAGGAAGGUGGCAGGGUCUUUUUGUAGUAGAGGCCAGUUCUGGCAGAUACGUAGAACACAAGCUCUGCAUGAGGCUGGGGGAGGCUAGGUCAGUCCUGCAGCCAUCAGAAUUACAGUAGCCCACUCUUCUGGGUGGCACUGUACAGGACCAUCUUAUCCUCUUCUUGCUAUCAUCUGGGGAAGCAGCCAAGACAGGUGGCAUGAUUCCCACUUUCCUCCUGCAUUCAACAAACAUUUCCUGUGUACCUGACAUGUUAGACAACUGAGAUGAAAACCCAAAGCUCCAAGAGGCUAUGAAACCCUCCUACAGUUACAAAGCUAUUAAGGGUGGAACCAGAGGAGCACCCAGAUCUCUCCAGUCCAUAGAUUCAGAGGGAUACGAGCCCAAAGAAUCUUUUAGAGAAUAUUUAGUGUGACCCUCACACUUCAGAGAAAAUAAACUGAGGCCCCGAAAGAGCACAUAACUUGGUCACUCAGAACUUGUAGUGCAGCAAGGCCAAGAUCCUUUUGCCCACUCUUCUCAUCACCCCUAACUCUUUCCAGAUGUUCCAGCUUUUACUGGACAUCACCCUGUGUCAGGCAGUGGAUCAGCUAAGAAUUACAUUUAGUUGUGAUUAAUGAAGACCUGACCACAGUGACUUAAACAGGGGCUUACGUCUCUCUCAUAAAAGUCCAGCGGCGACGGGGGCCUCACUCGCUCCCGGCCUGGUCGCAGCGGUUGCAGUGGAAGAAAGUCGAGUCCGCAGUGGAUGGGAAGCACCGUCAUGCCCCAGUAUUACAAGGACAAGCUGGAGGACCUGUGUGUGUGUCUGUUGCAGUCGAACUGUAUGGUCCAGGAAGGAAAAUCCACUCUGCGGUGUUUGAAGGAAGGAUACUGCAAAGUUUUGAAAUACUCAUUUUUUGAGUAUAAAAGAUCAAUGUUGGAUACCAGGUCAAGAAUCAGAGGAAGAAAGGGAUAUUGAUACAUUAUGUUGAAGCCAAGAUGAAAACAAUAAAGGAUUUUCUCUGGUCAUUAACACAAAGAAGCCAAAACAGGAAACAUACUUUUUACUACAUCUGUUUGGUUGGAACAGUUUUCCCCUCCAUGGAACACUGAAGAAAAUGAAUGAGUUCUGUUUUUGAAUAUGUAUAAAGUAAAUGAUUCUCUUGAUCCAACUUAUUUUUAGAAGAAAAACCUAAUUAAACAGUUAUGGGUUGGGAGCAUAAUAAAUGUGUUUUGAGAAUUGUUCUAAAGCACAGCGAAUGGAAAGACGGUUAUUUGCAAACUUGACUCUUCAAUCGAAUUACACAAUUUGUACAGGCCACUGAUGUGAAUGACACAGUUGAUAACAUGGAGCCUGUACAGAAGAUGUCAAUUGGGAAAGUUUAGGGUAAAACUUUUUCUUCAGUUCAAUCUUUCCUAUCUAGUUCUAAAAUAAAUUGUGUUCGAUUCCACCCCCCCGGCCCAAAAAAAAAAAAAAAAA